UGAACAAUAACAAGAACUUUACCUCUUGACGUCCUAUAGACGAUCAGUACAGUAAUGCAUUACUGUACCCGUUCUGAUAAACUUCAUUAAAUGAUCGUCUUUGAUCCUGUUGCCGCGCAGAAAAAAGAGGAAGCCAUUUACCUAUCUUUCGGUACAAGAACUACAGUUAAAAACGGCGACCAAUUGAGAACGGUAGUUAAGUCCACGAGUAGAGGGGUAAGCAUGUUUUAGCAGCGACAACAGUACGCGGUAUGUAGAUACGAAGCCGGUGUAAACCGGGAAGCCGUAGUUCGUGGACCGUAGUAAGCGUGGUAACACUGGACAGUCAACGACAUUUGGAAACCGGUCACGCUUUGGAAUUCAGUAUCCUCGAUCACCUGUCCCACUCUUUGCUUCAGUAUUCAAUAAAUCAC
rnacentral:misc_RNA from 1 species